rnacentral:rRNA from 1 species
GAUGAACGCUGGCGGCGUGCCUAAUACAUGCAAGUCGAGCGAACAGAUGAGGAGCUUGCUCCUCUGACGUUAGCGGCGGACGGGUGAGUAACACGUGGAUAACCUACCUAUAAGACUGGGAUAACUUCGGGAAACCGGAGCUAAUACCGGAUAAUAUAUUGAACCGCAUGGUUCAAUAGUGAAAGACGGUUUUGCUGUCACUUAUAGAUGGAUCCGCGCCGCAUUAGCUAGUUGGUAAGGUAACGGCUUACCAAGGCAACGAUGCGUAGCCGACCUGAGAGAGUGAUCGGCCACACUGGAACUGAGACGCGGUCCAGACUCCUACGGGAGGCAGCAGUAGGGAAUCUUCCGCAAUGGGCGAAAGCCUGACGGAGCAACGCCGCGUGAGUGAUGAAGGUCUUCGGAUCGUAAAACUCUGUUAUUAGGGAAGAACAAAUGUGUAAGUAACUAUGCACGUCUUGACGGUACCUAAUCAGAAAGCCACGGCUAACUACGUG